rnacentral:misc_RNA from 1 species
UAUGCUACAAUUGUUCUUGUAGCUUGGUUAGGUAAUUUUGGUCAGAUCGUUUCAAUAAACUAUCCCCAUUUGUACCGAAUCAUGAUUUACAUUAUUUUAUACGUGCAAAAUGCACUAGGAGGAUUUUUUAUUAUGGAACACGGAACAGUUAAAUGGUUCAACGCUGAUAAGGGUUUUGGUUUUAUCACUCGCGAAAACGGUAGCGAUGUAUUCGUACAUUUCUCAGCUAUCCAAGAAGACGGCUUCAAGAGUCUUGAUGAAGGCCAAGCUGUAAACUUCGACGUUGAAGAAAGCGAUCGUGGCCCACAAGCAGUUAACGUUACAAAAGCAUAAUUAACAGCUUAAAUGGCUUAAACCGGUGAUGAGAAUUAAUUCUCAUCACCGGUU